CAAAUGGUGAAGGGUAUUCAAAGAUCGGCCCAGCCGAACUUACAGCUUUUAAACUUGUUUAUCUUGAUUUGUCUAUUACCUUACCAUUGAAUCAUUUAUUUGUUUCACGAUUGUUAUUGUUAAUUUUCUGUUCUUCUUGGUUACUAUAUCAGUAAUUAUACCCUCCACCAUAGUAUGGAGGGUAUAUAAGGUUUGUUAUUCAGUUUGGAACACCUCUAAAUAUACAUUUAAGACCCCACAAAGCAUAUAUAUUCUUGACCAGCAUAAAUUCUAUCACUCCAGCUUCCUAACGAAAUAAAGUAGGUUGAUAAAAUUUUGCUCAAAUGUAUUUUGAUGAUUUUAGCGAUAUUAUUCAUUGCUUCAAAUUUGGUAUUUGAAGUUCGUAAUGUAUAUUACAGCCUAUGACAGAAUAUUGUAUGUGCAGGUCCACGUCUUCGUAUAGCCCCACAUAACGGCACCUCCCGAUAUUCGGUGUUUUGAUGAUUUUAGCGACAUUAUUCAAUGGAAUUGUUUCAAAUUUGGUAUUUAAAAUUUGUAAGGAAUACUACGAUCUAUGACGGCAAAUUGUCUGUGCAGAUCCACGUCUUCGUAUAGCUCCAUAUAACGGUACCUCCCGAUAUUUGGUAUAUUGAUGAUUUUAGCUACAUUAUUCACCGGAAUUAUUUUAAAUUUGUUAUUUGAAGUUCGUAAUGGACACUAAAGCCUAAGACAGAAAAUUGUCUGUGCAGGUCCACGAUAUCGUAUAGCCCCAUAUAACGGCACCUCCCGGUAUUCGGUGUUUUGAUGAUUUUAGCGACAUUAUUCACCGGAAUUGUUUCAAAUUUUGGUAUUUGAAGUUCGUAGUGGUUGCUACAGCCUAAGACAGAAGAUUGUCUGUGCAGGUCAACGAUUUGGUAUCGCCCCCAUAUAUGGUAUUCGGUAUUUUGAUGAUUUUACCUACAUUAUUCACCGAAGUUAUUUUUAAGUUUCGCAUUGGAAUGCUGUAAUGGUUUAUGGCAAAAGUUUCCUAAGCAGGUCCACGUCGUCGUAUAGACCAUAAUAUAACGGCUACAUUCGGUAUUUUUAAGAUUUAAACAUAUUUUUUUAACGUAUUUUAUUUUUAAAAAUUGCCAAAUUCGUUCCAAUUUGUGGAGGAUAUUCAAUAUUCGGCCCGGCCUAACUUACGGUUUUUUUAAUUGUUUUUCUUUGUCAUUGUUAAGAUAAAAUGAGAAAUUAGCGGGACGAUUGGAAACGGUACAGAUUAUCCAUAGCUUCAGGAAAAUAUACCGAAAAUCUGUUUUAUCCAUGGCGAUUGGAACAUGCUAAUAUGUUGUCAUCACAGUGAGCCCACACUUCCUUCCUUAUACCGUAUAAACUCCAGAUCAAGAUCAAAAUGAAAAUUUUGUUUCAUAAAUCCAUAGUCAUACCCCUACUUUACCGAACCCGUACAACUCAAUUUAAAACAUGUUUACAACAAACACUCGAUUUAUUGAAAAAAAUUCCAAAUUAUUAUAUGAGUGAGGAUAUUGAAUUCUCUCAAUUCUCUAAUGUUAAAAAUAGCAUAAACUUUAGGAUAUUUGUCUGUUGAAAAUUGAUCCAGAAAAUAUGAAAAGCAAACAUUAUGUGAUGACAUCAAAAAAUGCGAGAAUAAUCAAGUAAAAUUCUUGAUAUACGAUGCAAUGUGUUUUCGAAAUGUGUUUUUUCCGCGUAAACCAGCAUGUUGACUGAGAGCCAUCUAUAUAAAAAAAUAAUUUUCCAGUGUCUAUAUUUUCUAAGUGCAUGCAUUACCCCUGAAAAUAAGUAUAUACUGCUUGAUCGAUUUUAGCAGCUGUGGACUAGUUACAACAUUGUCCUAUGUAAUGCAGUCACGGACCAUGUCAUUGUCAAUCAAGAAUUUUUUGGUUAAGAAAAAUAACGGCAAGCGUUCGUUUUUUAUCGAUUGCUCAUAAAGUUGUUGUUUUGCGCAAGCGUUAGUUUUUUUGAAGGCACGAGUUUUUUGUUUUGUUUUGUUUUUUUUUUUGGGCACAAAUUUGAUACUGUUUUUUAGUUAGUUUCUGGAAGCAUUGUGCGGUAGUUUAAUCGUUUUGCGUGGUGUUAAAAGGCAAAGAAAAGAGUGUGUAAACACAAGAAACAGAUUAAAACCCAACACUUAUUAUCUACACAAUUCUAACUGUUAUUGUCUACACAAUUAUACAACAAUUGUAAUGGAAGGCAGAAAUCUAAAACAUCUAAAUGCUUGCAACAGACUUUAUAAUUACUGUGCCAAACAAAUGCUCUUUUUGCAUAGAACUCAAAGAAAUGAUCAACACUCAAAAUCAAGUAAUGGCUAGUAAAAUGGCUGAACAAAAAAUAUAUAGCAACAGCUCUCAAAAUUACAAAAACAACAAAACAAAAUAAUAGUGGAAAUGUUAGCAGACCACAAAAUACAGCUGCAAACCCUCAAUAGUUCCCAAAAAAUGUAACUACCCUGAUAAGCAAAUUUCCCCUCAAAUCCGAAGAAGAUCUUCAAAAAGUAGAGAGUGAAAUAUGCGAUUCGAAUGAAGGAAAAUAUAUAUCUGCUGUAAAGUAUUUAAUCGAUGGCAACCCAUUAAAAAAUUUCGAACGCAUUUUUCCCGAGAGAUAUGCAUAAUGUACCAUACGUAUGGAACUUGUAGGAAAAAAUGCUUAAUAGAUUUUAAAAGAAUAUAUAAAAUUGUUAUUGCCGAGUAUUCUGACUUUAAAGGGUUAUUUAGUUUUAAUGACUGUCUUUAUUUCAGAUGCAAUAUGUGACUACUCCCCCAAAAGUAAAAAGGAAUUUCGAGCAGCACUCCAAGUUCUUAAAAAAGCACUUCCGGGUUGUUUGAUCCCAAAUCAAAAACAAAAAUUAAUUUUAACUUUUUUUCAUUACAUUGUAUAACUGUGAAUUGGAGCAUAAUUUAAGUUUUCUUUUUAAAUAGAAUUUAUUAUUUAUCUUUCCUUUUUUCAUUGAAAAGUACCUGCAAAUUGAAUUACUUAUUUAUAUGUUUUAUACAAUACACAAAUACGCUGUUUAAUUUCUUGUUUUUUUUCUGUAUAUAUAUAUCGUUAAAACUGUUAUAAUUUCGUAGCUGUUCAUAUUAAAUUCACAUUAAAAUAAUCUAUAAAUUAUUAUUUAUCAUAUUAAGCUUAAAGUGCUAAGUAAGAUUAACAGUAUUAAAAAUAUGUACACUCAGAGAAAAGCGCAAAAGUACUCUAUGGACUAUUUUGGAUUAGUUUUGAACUACCCCUGGUCUGUUAUGGACUACUUUUUAGACGCGUGCAUGAAUUAGUCGCAUUAUUUGCAGGGAAUAGUUACAAAGAUUCAAUUGUUCACUAAAACACUCAAUGGCAUUGUUAAAGAAGCAUCUCACAUCAAAAUUUUGGCUCAGAGUUUAAUCAAUUUUGUUGAUAACAUUUUGUAAAAUUAACAUACCAAGUAACAAAAAAAACGGAUUGAUGGACAUGUAUCCAUUUUUUAAACUAGCACGCACAAUAACAUUAGCAUGUAACUGGUACAGCACUGUACAAAAAUUAUCCCCUAUGUCAAUUAGAAUAUGGCUGAGUCCUAUAAGAAAUCCAAUUUAAUAUUUUAUCGAAAUUUAAAUUUUGCAAGAGUUAAUAAUCAAAGCCCAUUGAAGUUGCACAACAACAUCUAUUAGUUUACGCACAUUUAAUAGUUUUACUUCAAAAUAUUUCCAGUAACCGUACAAUGUAUCAAUUCACAUUUCAAACAAUUUCCAAGAUCACAAUAAUCGUCAUCAACUAAGUUCACCUGAGGGUGUUUGUCAGUUCACCUACAAGACGCGUCCGCACGGCGGAUAGGGGGGAUGGAUGAUCACACUAUUUUGCUCGAACUAUGGAGUCUAGCUACGAACUGGGUGGAGCGGAAUAGUGUGAUCACCCGUCCCAGGGAGUUUUUACUCCCCGCGGACAAAAAACUGACUACGGGGGUGUUCCCCAAAAACAAAAAAACCAACAUGGAAGAAGGAAUAAAGAAAGAAAAAGUUACGGUGCAGGGCCAAAUAACCCAGUACCGACGGGUGUUUGUGAUCCAGCCACGAGUCACACCCUGUCGUCAUCCAACGAUCGUGUGCAAAUUUCUCCCGCAGAUGUGAGUGCCUUGGCAUCUGCGGUCGAAGGUAUUGCUACAAGCACGCAGCCUCCGGGCAACAAACCAGACAAAGGGUCUGAGGAACUCAGGGGAAGCAUACGCUCGACCCAGCCUUCAAUGGCAGGUUCCGAGUCCGACAGCAGCAGCAACAAAACUACCGUCCUGCGAAUCCCUACUAAGGAAGAGGCGCACAACACGAUAGAAGAAGUGAGUGACAGCGAAGCUGUCUGGGCCCAACGGCGAAAGCUCAAAAGACAACAAAACAGCAAAAAUGAUAAGGCGCAGGAUGUUCCAAAGGGGGCUACAAAUACUGCCCCCACUCCGUUGGAGGCAGGGAAGAAAGUAAGGUCCCUUGAAGGACAGAGCUCUAUGAAGCCGGCGAAAAAGAGCUACCCACCUGCAGACGCACCGGGUAAACUACGUCAAGGUCCUCGCAAAAUAGGCUGUAACAAGAAUCCUUUAGCCGAGGGCGACAAGGUUAGGCAAGCACUGGAAAGGUGCGAACGACCGUGAAAUCUACUGCUAAAUCAGGGGUUUCCGAAAAUAAAUCCCUGGCCCAACAGAAGAGGAAACGGACCGAGGAAAAGGGUACAAAGCCGCCUUUUUACGCAAAGACAGCCAAAAACACUUGAGGGACGAAAUGCAUUAUGCAUUGACCGAUACCAACAAAGGUUUAGUCAACUUGCAUAAAGACCAUUUGGAAGCUUUAGAGGAAAUGGUCAAUAAGAAAAUAUUGGAUGACAUCAUGGAAGGUGGAGAUCCAAUACCUAUCGUGAGCAGCGGAAGAAUAAUAAAAGUGCUCUUGAAGCUUACGGUAUACGUCAGAGGAUUUUGCAGCAAAUUCGAGAUGGAACGUAUGCUCGAAGUCUUUGGAAGGCAAAAUAAGACUUUGGAUGUGAAGAGAUGGGAAGUCUUUCACAGGGAGGAGAAGGAGGAUGUGAUUGGAGUUGACGAUCUCUCCAUGGCCAGUCUGACAAAGACUAAGGGUAUGACAUUCUAUGUCUCGAACGCUGUCAGGUUCAAAAAUAAUAAGGAGACGAAGAUACGAAGUGUAGCAGCAAGGAGGAGAAAGAUGACCCCUCAAGCAACACACAAGGAGGGUGUCGGUGACAAAAUUACCGACUCUCAACAAGCCCGUAUAUUGGAGGACCAAUGAUCGAGAUCUUCCAAAUCCACCUUCAUCGGAGCGGGACGGCAACCUUGACUCUGAUGAAACUAAUAAAUUCAGAGUUGUCAACAUCGGACGCAACAGUGCUUAGGCAGGGGAAUGGAAACAUAUACCUAGCGUCAGUAUACCUACCGUUCGACGCGCCGACAUUACCACCUUCAUCGGAACUGCAGCGGCUUGUGAGCAAAACAUAACAAACUGGUAACGAAGUACUUGUAUGUGGCGAUGCUAACUCUCACCACAUUGCGUGGGGUAGUACUAACAUUAAUAAAAGUGCCCAGUCCCUACCAGAUUUUCUAAAUACUAACGACCUAAUAAUUCUUAACAUUGGGAAUAAAGCGACCUUUGUAAACAAAAUUAGAGAGGAGGUUUUAGACAUUACCUUUUGUUCAGGAAAUCUUAUAAACGAGAUUCAGAAUUGGAGGGUUUCGGAAGAACACCUUUUCUCGGAUCAUAGGUAUAUAAGGUUUGAACUAACAGGGCUCCCGCCGAACCCAAUACGUUUCCGGAACAAAUCGCAGACUGACUGGAUGAAGUAUAGGAGACUAGUAAAAGAGAAGCUAGGGCAGGAAAUUGAAUGUCUAAGCACAGACGACGUAGACAGAGAUUGUUCACAUCGGGAGAGGAAAUCUGCCUACGAAAAACGCUGGAUGACAGGGGAAAUUCGUAACAAAGAAAAAGAGAAACCAGCAGUAUUCUGGGACAGCUACCAUAACAAACUAAAAGAAUACAACAAAAUAGUAAGAACAGUUAAACGAAGCACCUGGAAGAUUUUCUGCGAAUAGGAUGAUAGCGUGAAUGAUGUCUCAAAAAUAAAAAAGUUUCUUUCAAAAACCCAUACACAAGCCGAGACAAUGGUGGAUUAUAUGGUUGCGACUGAGGAUGCACCUAAAAUUGAUGAAUCUAUGGUAAAGGAAGCCGUCAGAAGUUUCAAACCGUUUAAAGCAGCACGACCAGAUAUAGUCUUCCCGACUCUGCUCCAAAAGGAAGUGGACAUUAUCUCGUCCAACUUAGCCGGAAUUUUCAACUCGUGCCUAAAGUUUGCGUAUACCCCUAAAGCCUGGCAAGAAUCCAGGGUAGUUUUUAUGCCCAAACCUGGGAAGGCAAGCUCAGUUAUACCCAAGUCUUAUCGACCGAUAAGUCAAACGAUAUUCUCAAAUAAAAGGAGCAUGUAUACGUUAAAGGACGUUCAUUGGAAACCGCAUUACAUGAGGUUGUACACCACAUCGAGAGCACCUUCGGUAAGAAGAUGUUUACACUAGCAGUAUGCAUUGACAUCGAAAGUGCGUUCAACAAUGUCAGCACAGAUACACCCGUCCAAUCCUUAGAUAAGGUCGACCGGGGCCUAAGACACUGGGUAAACCACAUGCUAAUGAAUAGAGGGAUAAGCUGUGGGCUAUAUAACGUUAAAAUAAGGCACAAAGUUGGUCAAGGAACUCCACAGGGAGGGAUAUUAUCACCCCUCCUGUGGUUUACUACCAUUAACAGUCUUCUAAGGACAUUAACCAAAGAAAGCUUUGAACCAGUCUGUUAUGCAGACGACGUUAUAAUACUUCUGAGGGGAAAGAACCCUAACUUGCUGUGCAGAUGGGCCGAGUCGGCUCUGAAACUUGCAUACACUUGGGCCAGACCGGGAGGUCUUAACGUUAACCCGGAAAAAACUGAGAUAUGUCUAUGUUCACUAGGAAAAGAAAACUGGGCCAUAUCGUUGAACCGGUCUUCCUGAACAAGACGAUCAAUAUUUCCAAUAAGAUACGAUAUGAAGCAGCCGUCGUGGCCUUAGGGCUUAGGGCGACGGACGAGUGGAUAAACAAAGACCACGCUACAUACCAUCAAACAAUUUUACAGGUAACAACGGGAGAAUCUAUAGAAAAUUUUGUAUCGGACCGGAUAUCUGAAACUUUUGUAGCUGCCUCAUGUGAAACAUUAAUCCCUACCAGAGACUCGUGGAUCGACGAAUUCCUACCACAAAUGCCGACUGGAAACUGUUGUUAAACAGACGGCUCAAUGCCUAGGGAGAGAGCGGGACAGCAAGUCAGCUAUAAUGGCUAUAACAUCCAAAACAGUAACUUCAAAAACUGUUUUAGUAUGUAUAAAUUCAAUCAACAACUACUCUCAACACGGCGUAGUACGCAUUAUAUGGGUACCAGGUCAUACGGGAGUUAGGGGUAACGAGAUAGCAAACUCUCUCGCCAAAACAGGCAGGGAAUUAGCAACAAUAAGCGUAGGCAAUCCAGUGCCGCUCAAUGCGUCACGUCUAGUGUUAAAGACAUGGGCAAAAAACGCCCACACAUCCCUAUGGAACAAUGAGGGUGUAGAGAAAACCACAAAAAUCUUCUGGGUCGAUCGAGAUGAGAUAAAAACGAAAAACCUUUUAUUAGUGAGGUAAUAGGCAACCUUACGGGGCACCUGGGCCUACAAGCUCAUCUGUACAAGAUAGGAUGUGCAGAAAACAGCAUAUACAGGGCAUGUGGGAAAGGUGACGAAACAUUGGAACAUUUUCUCUGCCAAUGCCCAGCGUGUGCUAAUUUCAGAUCCCAAUUCAUAGGGAACAACUCCACACCAGACCUUAAUCAGACCAUGGUAAAUGAUAUAAGACAGUUAAGAAAUUUCAUAAAGGCAACUUAUAUUCAAAUAUAACAGACUGUAAACUGCUGGCAAAUUUAUAGGUUUAUGUAGCCCGCAUUAUACACAUCAAAAUACAAAAUACUUUGCGCAUUACGUUUGAUGUUCACAGUUGAAAAGGCAGAGUAACUGAUCAAAAUGUCUGCGUUCCUACUGGCUUUUCUAACCUCGACUAAUUCAAUUGAGUAAAGAAGUUUAUGUUAUUUUUCACAUCCGAAAGUACUGCCAGAAAUAAUAUCUUCGGAUCCGUUCCAGAGUCUUUCGGAACUACGUUAUGUGAUCUCUUUCGUUGUUCAUUUUAAAACAGGUACCCUUGACGUUUCAAGGCACAUUUAGCCAGCCUGGUACUUAAGACUGUCUAGGACAUGAACCA